ensembl:lncRNA
CAAUGACUCGACACAAACUGGAAUUUCCCCAGAAAUCUCAUGCUUAGGAAAAGAAAAGGCAUGAAGUCUUGUGCCAGCCAGAGGAGGAACUUGUGUUCCUGAAAGGAAUUUCAUGAAGUUCUAACAACUUAUCAGAGCACCUCAAAGGAGAGACUGGAGCUGAGACCAAGACCCAUCCUGAAUUAUGCCCAGCACUAUCUGAUGGAAUGACCUCAGGAGGAAAGAGGAGUGACCAGUUGAGCAGGGAUGACCACAUACAAUUCAUGCUUCAAGGGAAUGGAUAUGCUUUUAGAUAUGAAAUUCACUUGUAUUUCCAUCUGUGCUGGAUAAUUUACAUCAACUUGGCACAAGCUAAAGUCAUCUGAGAGGAAGGAACCCCAAGAAAAUGCCUUCAUCGGGCCCUGGAUGUUGGUGGCUGCAAUGGUACAUGGUUUGACCUAAAUCUGUAAUAGCUUAGAUAAAGGUGGAAACAAGUUGUAUUAGUUUCUUUUCUUAUUUCUAUGGCCAAACACCUGACAAGGAGCAACUCAAGGGCGGAGGGGCUUAUCUUGACUACAGUUCAUCAUGAUGGGAAGCAUGGAGGCAGGAGCAUGAGGCACAUGAUCACACUGUGGAUGUAGUAAGCAAAUCAUGAGCAGACAGGGAACAGAGCUUUCUUUAGAACCUUGUAGUCUGUACCCAGUGACAACUUCCUCCAGUGAGACUCUACCUUCAAAAUGUGCCACAACAUUUCCAAAUGGUAUCAUCACCUGUGGAUAAGUGUUCAAGCAUGAGAGCCAUGGAAACACAUUUUACAUUCAAAUCUUGGAACGUAUUUGGUAACAUGGUAUCCUAUUUGUAGUAGCUUUAAAAAGUAUGGGUGAUUCUCACGCAUCAAAAGUCCAUUCUCAUCCAUCAAUAGGCAGGCAUUUAUGAAAUCUAUUCUUAGUGGUACUGUGGAAGAUUCCAGACUCUUCAUUUGUACUCCAUCCUUUUUAGUCUCCUGCUAAGGUUUUGCAUAUUUGGCCCCAUGAUUGUGAAAUUGUUGUUGUGCCUCCAUGCACCAUGUACGAAUCUCAUUUGAUGAUAUCUAGUAUGUGAUGUACUUUAUCCAAGCAGAACAACUCUCCUAGAAGCUCACUGAUCUCUGUUUUUGUCUCAUUGGCCAAAACACAUGACUUUUUCAACUGGAGAGAAGUAGGAAACUGAAAGAGUUGGUUUUCAGUGUUCACAACUGAGAAAGGAUUGCAUAGGUGACAUGAACUGAACCUUAGAGGACCUGCCAGGGGAGGCACUGUAAUCCUCAUAUAAAGUGAUAAAGCAGCUCAGAAAGACUGCCAAACACCAGAGGCAGAUUCCUGUUGACUCACUCUGACCAAAAAGCCAACAUAGGUGUCACUAUCUCAAAUUCUCAAAGUUCACUUCAAUUCAACCAUUGUUAAUCAUCAUCUGCUAUAACGAAGUCACUAUACUGUGGUCCCAGACUGAUUUUCAGAGGAAUGAAACAUCAUUCCCGCUCUAGAACAAUGGAUCACCCUGGUGGAGACUCCCAUACACAGAAGUCUCCAAUGUGAGAAAUGAUGUAAAUAUUGAGGCCAGAAUAUCAAGAGGAGAGAAUCAGGGCAGCAAGAGAGAUGUGAAACAGAGCACCAAGUCAAGUAGAAGCCAUCCUCCCGGAAUGAUGACUUACAAAAGCUAAAGGCAGGGAAAGAGCCAGGAGGGAGGUGGCUUAGCAGAAUUUGUUCACAUUCCGGUGACACGGCUUGAUCUCCUCUGUGCUCUCAUUUCCAACGAAAUCUUAGAAGCUGAUAAGAGGUUGAAAUAUAUACUAUCACAUAUGCAUCCUGAAGAGAACGUGUACAAGUAGAAAGAAGAGGGCACAAAGAACCUGCUGACACAUUUUGCUAUCUGUGUGGAGAUGCCGACACCCACACCAGGAUUAUCAGACUGUUUUGUUGUACACAGAUGUCCUCUCAUAUGGUUAAAUGCUUAAUUUAUUUCCUUGACACCUACUCUGACUGGGAUUCACAAGGAACAAGGACUUAUUUUUCCAAUGUCCAGCGUCUGCCUAGUACAUGGAAGGAACUCAGUCAACACUGGUGAGGCUAUGGCUCACACAAGUUCAUGUCCUAGAAUGUUAAUUAUGUGUUGUGUAAGAAUAAAAUGGGAUGAUGUUUUCCUUAAAAGCAGCUGGAGUUGUUCGUCAGCAGAAUGGCUCAAUCCAGUACAUGGCAGAAAACAAGUGGAGAGUUGCCAUUGACAGACUGCAUCAUCAAUGGUGAAAACCAAGGAAGUACAGACAUCUGAGGCCUGUCAUGAUCAGAGCCUUUCCAUAAUCAAUGGGACACCAAAGCUCUCAUUGCUGUAGCAGGAAACCCUUGCUUCUCCAACUGUUUUGCAUGUAUCCAUUUUGGAGCUGUUGAAGCUGAUAUUCUCCAUCCUAAGCACAAAGUGAACACACUGGGGCAUCUUAGGGCAGUAGGUUCAUUGUUAACUCCCAUGGGAUCCAAUCCACAAUGUCCAAAUGUGUCCUGAGAUAUUUCCAGAAACUCUUCUCUUUCAGUCAUGCACUCAGUGUAAGGAGACAUAAGAAGUUUGGGGAGAGCAUACUGGUCUUUGGUUCCUCUAAUGUUUUCUAGGAACUCGACUCUGGUUUCAGCAUAUGGCCCUUUUUGUUCUAAAAUCCCCUGAGUGACCCAAGAGCCUGACUAUUAAUGUGCAUCUUUAAGUUUGAAAGGUGACAGUUCUAAACUAAGGAAAAAAAUUAAAAAAAUGGGACAGCAUUGGGCUGUUUCCACAUAGCCUCUGUCAUCCUCAGUCUUGCAGAAGCAGUUAUUCAUCUCUCUUAACCCUCCUUGCAGUCCAGUGGUCCAUGUCCCCAUCUUUGACUUGCCUGUUGGACUACUGUAGGCAGAGGAGGUAGAAGUCUAUGCAUUCAGUCUCUGGCUACAAAUCUCCUUUCCAGUUCAUCACAUAGCACUUGUGUCCCAUAUGUGCACACUGAAAAUGAGAUGGAUGAUUGAUCAUUGUGCUUCUCAGCAAGCAUGGUAGGAAGUGUUUUUCUUCCAUCUAAGGAGUGGUGAAGAUAAAGAUGAACCUACAGUUGGCAGUGGUGUGGGAGGCGGAUGAAUUUCCUCACUGUUGAAGGCUGUGAUCAGAUGGAAUUGGCUCAGUGCUUUGGGAGGGUGAUGUCAAUGUGUGAACUGAAGUUCUCAGAAAAAAGAGAAGAAAGAGAGAAAGAGGGGGAGGGAGGAAGAAAGAAAAAGUCCAUCACCAACUCCAUGCUAAUGAUUCUACAAGGCCAAAUGACCAACCUUUGUGAUUUUGUAGUGUUAAAAUAUAGGGAUCAAAUUAUCUUGGGCUUUUUUUGGGUUCCAAUGAAAGCCAUUCAUUACCCACUCCCUGUCUGAUUAUCAAAAUCCUGAAGAUGUCAUCUGCACAAAUCACUAGCUUCCAUAAAACUAGAGGCUAAGGCUGUCACAAGAUAGUUUUGCAAUGUAUAGACAAGUUCUCUGUGUUUUUCUGAAACUUGCCUACCUCUUCCCACUUUUGGUAACUGCCUUCACAAAUGACAUUGUUAUGUAACCAGCAAAUGCUACAAGCCACAAGAUCACACAGGAAUUAUACAGCCUUUGCAUCACAAGAUAGCUCAGAAGAAUUAAGGAUUCUUCUGAUGGAUGAAACCAGAACAGAAGCUGUACCUGGCAUUACAAUCUUGUGAAUGAAUUGGCUGUGUCUUGUUAGAUUCUUCCUGUAGGUUAUUCUUAUCUGUCACAAACUUGCGGCUUACUUCUCAGUUUAGCACCAUCUGAUUAUUUACUGAAAACAAAUUUCUCCCAUGAAUUUGGAGUUUUACUGAUUACACUACCUAGCUAUGUGUAAAUACCUGUUCUCCAUUAACAGGUCCUAGUUUACUGAUUAUAUUCCUUAGCUAUGUGUGAUGCCUGUUUCCCACUAUCAGGUUCUUGUUCCCCUCUCCAUUGCAAUUGCAGAAAACUGCCUUUCUGCAAUUAUCUGUAUUGACAGGCAUUUGGUCAGUGUUUAGGGCUCAGGCAAAAGCAUCCCAUCUAAGACAACCCAAAUAUCCAAGGAUACUUAUAUUUUUGGUUGUGAGCCUAGCCUUUAAUGGCUGAGCCAUCUUUCCAGCCCAAUAAGAGAUACUAUAGUAGAGGGAGACAUUAUAGGUUUAAAGAGAAAUCAGGCACUAGGGAAAUGUCUGGAGAGCUACAAAGAUGACACCAACUAACAAUCUAAGCAACAGAGGAGAGGCUACCUUAAAUGCCCUCCCCUGAUAAUGAGACUGAUGACUAACUUAUAUGCCAUCCUAUAGCCUUCAUCUAGCAGCUGGUGGAAGUAGAAGCAGACCCCCACAGCUAAACCUUGAACUGAACUGAAAUCCAGUUGCAGAGAAGGAAGACUGAUGAGCAAAGGGGUCAAGACCAGGCUGGUGAAACCCACAGAAACAGCUGACCUGAACAAGGGAGAGCUCUUGGUUCCAAGACUGAUAGCUGGGAAACCAACAUGGGACUGAUUCAGACCCUCUGAAUGUGGGUGUCAGUGAGGAGACCUCAGAAAUCUAUGGGGCCCUUUGUAGUGGAUCAGUACUUAUCCUUAGCAUAGGAAUGGACUUUGGGAGCCCAUCCCACAUGGAGGGAUACUCCCUGAGCCUAGAC